AACGCACGAGACCUGCGGACCUGCGGAGGGAUCAUUACCAAUUUUUAAUAUUAGUUCUGGGCCGACAACUUGUUGUUGGUCUCUGAAACUACUAUGUAAACGUUGAACUUAGAUCAUUGGUGUGGAUUGCUUGGGAAUGGUUAGAAGCGAUAAGCCUCUUUCCGGACAGGCAAACCCCACAUCGAUAACCUUUUCAUAUAAUUUACUAAUAUAUACUACAAACAAAACAAAAGCUAUAAU
rnacentral:misc_RNA from 1 species